CGCUCGUUGGCUGGGUGAACUUUGUUCGUGUCCCACUCCGCCUCGUUCUCCUCCCUCGACAGCGCCGCACCUCCUCCCUCAUUCCUGCUCGUCCGGAUAGCCGCCGGCCGCCGCAUCCCUUCUCCCCCUUCCUCCUCCUUCCUCCUUCCCGCUGGCGCUGACGAGGGGGCCUCUCGCAUGGACGGCCGGGGCUUCAAACCAGGGGGGGCCAAGAAAGCCGGCCGGCGGCGGUCGGGGCGGGCGCGGAGAGGGCCGAUGCGGCGGCCGCGGGCGGGGCGGUGGCGGCCAAGGCAAGGGAGGAUGAGCAGCAGCAGCAGCAGCGUCUCCAUGGACGCGGCGGCGUGACGGCUUCCAGGCACGGAUCCCCUCCUCCGCCUCCAUCCUCCACCUCUCCGGUCGCCCGGUUGCAACGCAGCAGCUCCUUCCUACCUUCCAUGGACGAACUCGACGGAGACGCCGUCCAGCCCGACCACGGCCACGACUACCCCACGCACAAGAAAGGUAGUUAUUGUGAAUUGAUGUUCGCACUGAGGCCGGAGGCGAGAGGCGAGGGCACGAAGGUCGACGGCAAGUGCUCAGGAGAGAAGAGGAAGGCGGCGGUGGCUGCGGUUUACACGAGAGCCAGGUGACCUGCCCAGAAAGGUAGUUACAGUGAAUUGAUGUUCAUAUGAACUUCAAUGCUGUGACGUUUUUAUUAGAUCUGAGUUGCAAUCCUCAAUUUUUUUAGGUUUGAGUAGCAAUGUUCCUGCUCUACUAGCUAUGACAUUUUCCAUGUUUUUUCUUCUAAUAUCGUAUUGCCUCCAUGCUUAUGGGUUCAACUUGACAAGCUUUUUUCAUCUUACAUCCUGUUUUAAGCUCUGUUGAUGGUUGAUUUCUGCCAUGUUUAUGGAGGGAGAGGACGCCAAGUACUAGGAGAAGGAUCAGUUUAGCAAGUAGAGGCUGUAAUUCUCUUAUGAUUAUGGAUCUGAGGAUGAAGAGAAGAUAUGGGUUAACUUUCGGAGUGAUUGAGUUGGUCAAAAAAAUUGAAGCACAUCAAAGGGGCUUGUUGCUUGGCUGCUAUGGAGAAGGGUAUUCUUUGAAGGAGUUGUAGACCUUUUGGAUAUGCUUCAAUUUGGACACUUUUUCAGUAUGUAUAUGAUAUGGGCAGGUUAAAGAGCCCCUGUUAUUUUUCUUGGCUUUUAUUUAGAAGGUGCCAUAUGAUGGUACUAACUCUAUUCUGCUAUCACUUUCUACAUCACUCACAUUUAAAUUUGCUAAUAUAUGUUUUUUUAAACAUGAUAUCUACGUAUCUGAGAAUUUUUAUUUGUGGGAAAUGAAAAACUUAAUGUGGCUGGAGUUCUACGCGGAUUAAAUCUAAUUAUCCUUAUAUUUCAACUCCAAUGACUCGGCCUCACAUGUAGAAUGCGGUUUUGGGCAUGUGUUUCGGUUCAUUCGGUUUCGACGGAAUCAAAGGUCAGGAAAAAUAUAUAGGUGUUAGUUCAUUAUCUUUUCAGGUUUCUUAAUUAUUCAUACAUUUGCAUCUAUGUUACAGGUGUUAGCUUUCAUGGCUAGGAUUUUUUUAGCAUAUUCAAAUCUGUAUUAGAAUAAGGUUUCCCCCUUGGAUGUUCCUUAUGUAUCCAUAUAUUAGAUUUUUUGUGUGGUUCAUUUGUUGCAAAUAUAUAAAUAAUAAUCUGAUUGACUAUAUGCAGAUUUGGUUUGAAAUCUUCAAGCAGUCUCUGACAAGUUGUAGGUGAAGAAGAUCAUGUCCUAGGAGUUAUAUGCACGUGGAGUACAUUUAUUGUAUGCAUUUUGUUUAGAAGUAUUCAGUUUCAUAGCAUAAUCAAGUGUUUUUCAAUACUCUCUCUCUCACACACACACAAAAUGUCUUUAAUUUCUGUUUUUUUAAUGUAUUGGCCUCUGAAUGAUCUGCAUGGUAUAUAUCUAUAUCGCUGAAUGACCUCGACUUGUACCUUUGUGGUUUGCAAACACUAAAACAUGUGUUGCUACAGAGUUAUCUUAAUUUUAACGUUGAUCGGUGCAGGUGGGUUCUCAUGGUAGGAUUUGAUCCACUCGGAUAUCAAUGUUGAUUGCACAUGUGGAGGGCUUCUGGAUGCAUUUAUUGUCUCAUGUCACAAGGAUUUACAACUUUUACGAGAAUGCGGGUGUAGAGUAUUGAUAAUUCCAGAUGGCUCACUUCCUACAAUAGAGCACCCUACAGUACUAUCAAUUAUUCAGUCAGAGAACCACACUAUGCUGAAUAUAUUGGUGGAUCAGGUACGUCGAUAAGCACCCAAUGUUCAGUCAGAUGAAGAGAGUGAAAAUAUAUUGGUGGAUCAGGUACAUUGACAAGCACCCAAUGUUCAGUCAGAUGAAGAGAGUGAAAACAGCGUUUACUCUGAAUUUUCAGACAGAGUGGCGAUGCAGCUGGAAGUUUGAGGCACUGGAUUCCCCCUGACGGAGGAACAAUCAAGUUAAAUUUAGAUGCUUCAUUCUUUGCUGAGACUUGGAGGAGCUAUAUCGGGGCCA